UUGUCCUUCAAUUCCAAUAGCGGUAUGCUGCGAUUCUCUCUUUCUGGGUGACGGGACUCAUCCCCCAAUUCAAACCAGCACGUCUGUGAUUCUCUCCUCUCGAGCGCACUGGCGACGACUGGUGCUCAACCACAGUCUGGAUUCUGGUGAUACCAUUGACAUAGUGAAGGUUUUUUGUCAUGGCUGCUACCGUUCCGGAGGCUGCGCUCAUUUUACAGACGAUACCUAGAGUACAAAUACUCGGUGAGGUUGUCCGUGUCGAGCCAAUCGACUGGAUAUUCAAAGAUCUCACUUAUCGCCCGUAACUGUCAUGUAUGUUGGUUGUUCUAUAAUUGUGUCGUUGUAUGGAUGUUGCUCCGGGUGUUAUCAAGAUAAGCUUGUUCGUCGUCCGCAACUGCCGUGUACGCUCAAUUUGUCGCUGCAUGGGGCGUGGCAGUGUGACACAUGAUUCCAUGAUGAUUAACUUUUGUUUGUGGAAUGAUGCUGACCUUGUUUCCGUUGUUUGAACUUGCAUUUUCUACUUUCUUUUGUAUGUUUGUUUUUAUGCUUUGUCGUAUAUGUUACGCCGAAUUGCGAAGUAGUUAUGUUCCUAGACAGUGCGUACAUAGUGCAAUAGAUAUUUUAUGUAAUAUUUUUAUAUUUUGUAAUGUCGUU